rnacentral:rRNA from 1 species
GACAGAGGGUGCAAACGUUGUUCGGAAUUACUGGGCGUAAAGCGAGUGUAGGCGGUUUGGUAAGUCGGAUGUGAAAGCCCCGGGCUCAACCCGGGAAGUGCACUCGAUACUGCCAAGCUAGAGUAUCGGAGAGGUUGGUGGAAUUCUCGGUGUAGAGGUGAAAUUCGUAGAUAUCGAGAGGAACACCGGUGGCGAAGGCGGCCAUCUGGGACAACACUGACGCUGAAGCACGAAAGCGUGGGGAGCAAACAGG